rfam:Salmo salar isolate Sally breed double haploid chromosome ssa10, whole genome shotgun sequence.
UGCAAUCACUACUGUAAGUCGCUCUGGAUAAGAGCGUCUGCUAAAUGACUUAAA